rnacentral:rRNA from 1 species
UACGUAGGGUGCAAGCGUUGUCCGGAAUUAUUGGGCGUAAAGAGCUCGUAGGCGGUUUGUCACGUCGGAUGUGAAACCCUGAGGCUCAACCUCAGGCCUGCAUUCGAUACGGGCAGACUAGAAUUCGGCAGGGGAGACUGGAAUUCUGGUGUAGCGGUGAAAUGCGUACGAUAUCAGAGAACGAAGACCGGUGGCGAAGGCGGGUCUCUGG